CCCAUGAAUACUCAUUUCAUUCAAUCAUAUUUCAUAUAAUUCUUGUUCAUUGCUGAAGUUAAAUUGGUACAGACCCACAAAUAGUGAAAAUGAAGAGCAGUAUCUUAUGAUCCAUCAAAGUGGAGAAGAUGGUACAGAAGAAGUAAACAGCCUUUUAUCAUUUGAGAGAAACCAUUAUUAUGUAACACACAUAAAAAACAUAUAACCAGGAAAGCAAUAAUUAUUCUUCACAAACACAAAAUCUAUAGGGUAGAAAAAUAUAGACUGAACUGUACUUCUGUAUGAAAUGAAAUUAAGCAGAUCCCUUAAGCUUCUUUGUGAUGGUAGCAAUGUACUUGCCCUGGUGAAAAGCCUGCUCCAACUCCAGGUCAGAGGGCUGUCUUGAACCAUCCCCAGCAUAAGUUCCAGCACCAUAAGGACUUCCGCCUUUCACUUUCUCCAUUUCAGACAUGCCAGCACCGAAUGUAUAACCAAUGGGAACAAAUAUCAUUCCAUGGUGAACAAGCUGAGUGAUUGCAGUCAACGCUGUAGUCUCUUGUCCACCACCUUGAGAACCAGUGCUAUAGAAGAUUCCAGCAGGUUUGCUUGCUAGUUGCUGUGUUCUCCAUAAGCCACCAGUUGCAUCCAAAAAUGCUUUAAAUUGGGCAGCCAUCAUUCCAAACCUUGUUGGGAAGCCAAAAACAAACCCAUCAGCCUCAGCAAGUUCAUUGGGAGAAAGGACUGGCACGUCACUCUUUGGGGGUGCACUCAUCUUUCCAAGCACCUCCUCUGGCAGGGUCUCAGGAACCUGCCAUAAUUUGGCUUCGACACCUUCAACAGAUGCUGCCCCCUUCUUGAUCUCUUCUGCCAGUUUCUCUACAUGCCCAUACAUGGAAUAGUACCUGAAAGAGCAAUAUAAAAUUUUGAAAAAGAAACAUAUAAUGUAAGCCAAAGAGCAUUAGACAAAAACAAAUAGAUGAGGUACUAUUCCAUGUACUCAUCUUUCUUCUUUAUAAUUUUUUCUUUUUUAAAUUUUUUCUAUAAUCUUAUUCACAUAACACCACCACAUAUAUCUAAUUUUUCAGGAAAUUGCAUAGUAUCAUUAUCUGUUGCAUCAUUACUGCAUCUUAUGUUUGUUCGCGUGCUUCCUAGCUAUGCACAAUACAGAAUGUUCGCCAUUGGGCAUUCUAUUAGCAAUAAAACCCACAGCCCACAAGCAAUAAGCUCACCAGCUGUUGUCUUCAUAGUGGAUGCAAUAAGGACAUUGAACUGUGCAUAUAAGAAUCUCUAGACACAAGAGAAAACUCUCCUGACAGCUAUGAGUGGACAUAGUGCCAACAUUAUCAUGGAAGAAACAACCUUGGCAAAAAUAGUGAUAUUUGCUAGCAACAAUAUAAUGGAGGCAGUCAAUCAAAUAUGAAUUGAGGGAUCACCAGGCCAGUACACCAAAAAUAAAUGGAAAGUGAUUUUGUUCCACACUAGCAUAAUAAAUAGUGGGAUGCACAAUACAAUUGACUAUCCCUAAUAAAAUUAGCCUUGUAAAAAUCAUGUUUCAUGAUACGACUAUGGACAUGGACAACAAGGCAGUUGCACACUACUAACUAGAUUAGAAAGAAAAAGCUGCUCCAGAUGCUAUCAGUUUGAUUGUUUAAACAUUAAAUUAAUAUCUGGACCAUCAAUGUAGCACAUUUAAAGGUCAUAGCAAGUAUACUCUGAAUUAAGCCUUUACAAUGCUACAGCAAAUCAUAAUCUAUAAACUUCAUCUGUAAUGUGUGUCAAUAGAUGUUGCCACACUGGUACUCAACAAAUAGUACAUCCAUUUGCUAGAGAAAGUUAACAAGUAAGCAAUCAUAUGGGCGACUACUGAUAUGGUUAAACUCUGAUUCUAUAUUCCUUUAACAGGUCACAAAUGCAAGUGUCUAAAACAAAUUCUGCACCUAUGAGCCCAGUCUCAUGUUUGCCAGAGCAAGAAUUACAAAGCUUGAAAUGCUAAUAUAACAUAAGAAUGAAGUGAAGCUGGGGAUAUCCACUUUGCUGGGUGACCAAAUGAUUCUGGUCUUAUUUUUCCGGAAGUAUGAUUAUCUAUGCAUUAUUAACAUUAUAACUCAAUAAGAACUUAAUUAAUAAAAAGAUUCCAACCUUUUAACAAGAAUGAAAUCAAGGCUGUGGUUGUGGCUGGGAUCUGCUUUUCUAGAGAUCUAACUAAAGCUCUUUUAGAAAUCAAAUUAGAGUACACAAAGUCACAGACCUUAUACCUUAAUAUUGCCUAUAACGCAGUGAUUUGCCUCAAUAAAAAAUUAAAGAUCAGAGCUAGACAUUAGUUUGAUAGAGAGGAGAAAAGGUUGGAAAGGAAAAUGCAUCUAGUCCAUAAUGAGGGAUAAAUACAUGAGGAGGUGGCACCUACUAUGAGCUGGAUGCACUUCCUUUCCUCUCUUCCUUCCUCAAAGAGGAAAAAAUAAAAGGACUGCCCCUUAGAUGAUUCAAUUACAGUAAUUACCAGAAAAUACAACCAGAAUUCAUUUUCUAGCUCCAUAAUUCUAUACAUUUUCUUGGCAUCCAAACAGAUAGUCAUCAAACAGUUUUUUAUUUAAAAAAAAAUGAACAUAAUCUACAAUUCUACAAUCAGAUUAAACAUUAAAAACCGCAAAAAAAUUCAGAUGAUAAAAAAACGGUUCACAGAGUAAAUAGAAAAGAUCAUCGUUUUAGGAGAUCGAAUAGAAAAUCCAAUCCACAGUAAUCAAAACGUAACCAGAAAAAAAGAAAUCAAAGAUCACAAAUAAGAAUCACAUGUAUACACUCAAAGUAUACGAGAGAGAGAGAGAGAGAGAGA
rnacentral:misc_RNA from 1 species